rnacentral:tRNA from 1 species
GCCUGGUUGGCUCAGUCAGUUGGGCAUCUGACUUAGGCUCAGGUCAUGAUCUCGUGGUCCGUGAGUUCGAGCCCCGCAUCAGGCU